AUUGAACGCUGGCGGCAGGCCUAACACAUGCAAGUCGAACGAGUGGCGGACGGGUGAGUAAUGUCUGGGAAACUGCCCGAUGGAGGGGGAUAACUACUGGAAACGGUAGCUAAUACCGCAUACCAUCGGAUGUGCCCAGAUGGGAUUAGAUAGGAGGGGGGGUAACGGCUCACCUAGGCGCCGAUCCCUAGCUGGUCUGUGAGAAUGACCAUCCACACUGGAAUUGAGACACGGUCCAGACCCCUACGGGGGGCAGCAGUGGGUAAUAUUGCACAAUGGGCGCAAGCCUGAUGCAGCCAUGCCGCGUGUAUGAAGAAGGCCUUCGGGUUGUAAAGUACUUUCAGCGAGGAGGCGUUACUCGCAGAAGAAGCACCGGCUAACUCCGUGCCAGCAGCCGCGGUAAUA
rnacentral:rRNA from 1 species